GAUGAACGCUGGCGGCGUGCCUAAUACAUGCAAGUCGAGCGAACGGACGAGAAGCUUGCUUUUCUGAUGUUAGCGGCGGACGGGUGAGUAACACGUGGAUAACCUACCUAUAAGACUGGGAUAACUUCGGGAAACCGGAGCUAAUACCGGAUAAUAUUUUGAACCGCAUGGUUCAAAAGUGAAAGACGGUCUUUCUGUCACUUAUAGAUGGAUCCGCGCUGCAUUAGCUAGUUGGUAAGGUAACGGCUUACCAAGGCAACGAUGCAUAGCCGACCUGAGAGGGUGAUCGGCCACACUGGAACUGAGACACGGUCCAGACUCCUACGGGAGGCAGCAGUAGGGAAUCUUCCGCAAAGGGCGAAAGCCUGACGGAGCAACGCCGCGUGAGUGAUGAAGGUCUUCGGAUCGUAAAACUCUGUUAUUAGGGAAGAACAUAUGUGUAAGUAACUGUGCACAUCUUGACGGUACCUAAUCAGAAAGCCACGGCUAACUACGUG
rnacentral:rRNA from 1 species